AGUGAGAGGAGUAGAAUGGCCUUAGUGGAUGGUGGAUCUUCACACUUUUAUUUAGGUAAUCUAAUCACAGAUGUGAUGAACAAUUUAGGAUAAAACAAUUGUAAAAGUACUGCUUCUCUUUGUAAUAUAGAGAAUAAAUCUUACAUUAUUAUAUGAAUAAUGUAUGUAUGUUAGAUGUAUUUAAUAAUAAUUUCUUAUACUUUAUAUUUUCA
rnacentral:misc_RNA from 1 species